rnacentral:rRNA from 1 species
UACGGGGGGUGCGAGCGUUGUCCGGAAUCACUGGGCGUAAAGGGCGCGUAGGUGGCUUGGCAAGCGCGUGGUGAAAGCCCGGGGCUCAACCCCGGGUCUGCCGUGCGAACUGCUAUGGCUUGAGCACUGUAGAGGCAGGUAGAAUUCCGGGUGUAGCGGUGGAAUGCGUAGAUAUCAGGAGGAACACCGAUGGCGAAGGCAGGUCUCUGGGCCACUACUGACGCUGAGAAGCGAAAGCAUAGGGAGCGAACAGG